GUCGGGAAGCGGCAAACGGGUGAGUAACACGUUGGUACCUGCCCCGAAGUGAGGAAUAACCCCGCGAAAGCGGGACUAAUACCGCAUAGUCUUAAAUCCGCAAGGAUUUAAGUAAAGCUACGGCGCUUCGGGAAGGGCCUGCGGCCUAUCAGCUAGUUGGUAGGGUAAUAGCCUACCAAGGCGAUGACGGGUAGCUGGUGUGAGAGCAUGACCAGCCACAAUGGGACUGAGACACGGCCCAUACUCCUACGGGAGGCAGCAGUGAGGAAUCUUCCGCAAUGGCCGAAAGGCUGACGGAGCGACACCGCAUGAUCGAUGAAGGGCGUAAGCUUGUAAAGAUCUUUUCUGAAGGAAUAAAACUGACGGUACUUCAGGAAUAAGCACCGGCUAACUACGUGCCAGCAGCCGCGGUAAGACGUAGGGUGCGAGCGUUAUCCGGAAUUACUGGGCGUAAAGAAUCUGUAGCGACUUAAUAAGUUUGUGGUUAAUCAUUGGGCUCAACCCAAUAAUCGUCGCAAAUACUGUUAGGAUAGAGAUUGGCAGAGGUAAAUGGAAUUCGGCAUGUAGGGGUAAAAUCCGUUGAUAUGCCGAGGAACACCAAAAGCGAAAGCAUUUUACUGGGCCAAUUCUGACGCUGAGAGAUGAAAGCGUGGGGAGCAAACAGGAUUAGAUACCCUGGUAGUCCACGCCGUAAACUAUGGGUGUUAGGUGUUGGAGAGAAUCGACCCUUUUCAGCGCCUAAGCCAACGCAUUAAACACCCCGCCUGGGGAGUACGGCCGCAAGGCUAAAACUCAAAAGAAUAGACGGGGACCUACACAAGCGGUGGAGCAUCUGGUUCAAUUCGACACUGAACGAGGAAUCUUACCUGGGCUUGACAUCCCGAGAACCUCGCAGAAAUGCGGGGGUGCCGCAAGGAACUCGGUGACAGGUGAUGCACGGUCGUCGUCAGCUCGUGCCUUGAGGUGUUCGGUUAAGUCCGUAAACGAGCGCAAACCUUGCCCUGAUUUGUAUAUUU
rnacentral:rRNA from 1 species